rnacentral:misc_RNA from 1 species
AAGUCGUAACAAGGUUUCCGUAGGUGAACCUGCGGAAGGAUCAUUAACACAAACUUGCUUUUUUCUGAAAAGAAAAAAACAAAAACUAUCCACCCCUUUUCGAACGAACAAUGAUUAUUAUUUUUCUCUUCUUUAUAACCCCUAUUUUUUUUUUUCACACCCACUACCAAACAUGCGAUAGACUGAUAUCAUUUUUAUGAUCAUUACAUUGAUUUUUAAUGAUUUUUAAAACAACUCUUAGCAACGGAUAUCUUGGCUCUC